rnacentral:rRNA from 1 species
AGCAGCCGCGGUAAUUCCAGCUCCAAUAGCGUAUAUUAAAGUUGUUGCAGUUAAAAAGCUCGUAGUUGAAUUUCGGAAUCGACGGAUUGGUCGCGCCUUUGGUGUGUACUGGUCUUGCCGGUUUCUCCCUUCUGACGAACCACGAUGUCAUUAAUUUGGUGUCGCGGGGAAUCAGGACUGUUACUUUGAAAAAAUUAGAGUGUUUAAAGCAGGCAUUAGCUUGAAUACAUUAGCAUGGAAUAAUGAAAUAGGACGUUUGAUCUUAUUUUGUUGGUUUCUAGGAUCGACGUAAUGAUUAAUAGGGAUAGUUGGGGGCAUUAGUAUUCAAUUGUCAGAGGUGAAAUUCUUGGAUUUAUUGAAGACUAACUACUGCGAAAGCAUUUGCCAAGGAUGUUUUCAUUAAUCAAGAACGAAAGUUAGGGGAUCGAAGACGAUCAGAUACCGUCGUAGUCUUAACCAUAAACUAUGCCGACUAGGGAUCGGAUGAUGUUAAUUUUUUAAUGACUCAUUCGGCGCCUUACG